rnacentral:rRNA from 1 species
CCUACGGGUGGCAGCAGUCGAGAAUCAUUCACAAUGGGGGAAACCCUGAUGGUGCGACGCCGCGUGGGGGAAUGAAGGUCUUCGGAUUGUAAACCCCUGUCAUGUGGGAGCAAAUUAAAAAGAUAGUACCACAAGAGGAAGAGACGGCUAACUCUGUGCCAGCAGCCGCGGUAAUACAGAGGUCUCAAGCGUUGUUCGGAAUCACUGGGCGUAAAGCGUGCGUAGGCUGUUUCGUAAGUCGUGUGUGAAUGGCGCGGGCUCAACCCGCGGACGGCACAUGAUACUGCGAGACUAGAGUGAUGGAGGGGGAACCGGAAUUCUCGGUGUAGCAGUGAAAUGCGUAGAUAUCGAGAGGAACACUCGUGGCGAAGGCGGGUUCCUGGACAUUAACUGACGCUGAGGCACGAAGGCCAGGGGAGCGAAAGGGAUUAGAUACCCGUGUAGUC